ACGGGUGAGUAAUGCUUAGGAAUCUGCCUAUUAGUGGGGGACAACAUCUCGAAAGGGAUGCUAAUACCGCAUACGUCCUACGGGAGAAAGCAGGGGACCUUCGGGCCUUGCGCUAAUAGAUGAGCCUAAGUCGGAUUAGCUAGUUGGUGGGGUAAAGGCCUACCAAGGCGACGAUCUGUAGCGGGUCUGAGAGGAUGAUCCGCCACACUGGGACUGAGACACGGCCCAGACUCCUACGGGAGGCAGCAGUGGGGAAUAUUGGACAAUGGGGGGAACCCUGAUCCAGCCAUGCCGCGUGUGUGAAGAAGGCCUUUUGGUUGUAAAGCACUUUAAGCGAGGAGGAGGCUACCGAGAUUAAUACUCUUGGAUAGUGGACGUUACUCGCAGAAUAAGCACCGGCUAACUCUGUGCCAGCAGCCGCGGUAAUACAGAGGGUGCAAGCGUUAAUCGGAUUUACUGGGCGUGAAGCGCGCGUAGGUGGCCAAUUAAGUCAAAUGUGAAAUCCCCGAGCUUAACUUGGGAAUUGCAUUCGAUACUGGUUGGCUAGAGUAUGGGAGAGGAUGGUAGAAUUCCAGGUGUAGCGGUG
rnacentral:rRNA from 1 species